GGUGAACGCUGGCGGCGCGCCUAAUGCAUGCAAGUCGAGCGUGUCCGUGGCUUCGGCCACAGGAAAAGCGGCAGACGGCUGAGUAACGCGUGAGUAAUCUGCCCUCCGGUGGGGUAUAACCUCGGGAAACUGAGGAUAAUCCCGCAUACGACCGUUAUCCCUUGGGAUGGCGGUGAAAGGCUCCGGUCGCCGGAGGAGGAGCUCGCGUCCUAUCAGGUUGUUGGUGGGGUAAUGGCCUACCAAGCCGAUGACGGGUAGCUGGUCUGAGAGGAUGACCAGCCAGAGGGGGACUGAGACACGGCCCCCACUCCUACGGGAGGCAGCAGCAGGGAAUCUUGGGCAAUGGGCGAAAGCCUGACCCAGCGACGUCGCG
rnacentral:rRNA from 1 species